rnacentral:rRNA from 1 species
UACGUAGGGUGCAAGCGUUGUCCGGAAUUAUUGGGCGUAAAGAGCUCGUAGGCGGUUUGUUGCGUCGGCUGUGAAAUCCCGAGGCUCAACCUCGGGUCUGCAGUCGAUACGAGCAAACUAGAGUGUUGCAGGGGAGACUGGAAUUCCUGGUGUAGCGGUGAAAUGCGCAGAUAUCAGGAGGAACACCAAUUGCGAAGGCAGCUCGCUGGGACGUAACUGACGCUGAGACGCGAAAGCGUGGGGAGCGAACAGG